CACGUAGGCACCAAGCGUUGUCCGGAUUUAUUGGGCGUAAAGCGCGCGUAGGUGGCCUCAUAAGUCCGCUGUAAAAGUCCAGGGCUCAACCCUGGAAAGCCGGUGGAUACUGUCGGGCUAGAGUCCGGAAGAGGCGAGUGGAAUUCCUGGUGUAGCGGUGAAAUGCGCAGAUAUCAGGAGGAACACCGAUGGCGAAGGCAGGUCUCUGGGCCACUACUGACGCUGAGAAGCGAAAGCAUGGGGGAGCGAACAGG
rnacentral:rRNA from 1 species